rnacentral:lncRNA from 10 species
AUCUGUGCUUUAAAGUUAAUUUAUUAAAUUUUUGUUGUACAUAAAAGAACAUUAAGUAUUAGACUUGCAAAGCACUUGCAUUUCUUAUCUGACAUCUUUUAGGACAAUUUGAUUCAUUGUAAAUCCACAUAUAUGUCAUUUUAAAAUCAAAGAUAAUAUUAAACAAUUUCAGAAAAUUGUUUUAAUAAUAUACAGCACUCCUCCUUCUAAAAAUAUUUUAAAACAUAAGUAUUGACAAAUUAUAACCUAUUUUAAAUUGUGUAGAGUUUUUCAUGUAUUAAAUUUAUUUUACUCUAGCAAGUAGUAUAAACAAAAUAAACAUUUAAGCCAAAAAGUUCAAACAUCAAUGAUCACUGAUUUAGAUAAACAAAUGAAGUAGAGUAAUAAUUACUUUAGAUAAAUACUAAAGAGUUUUAUGUGAUCAUUCAUUAUAAUUUAAAAUAGUGCUACAGAGAAUGUCAUCUUGGCUUGCUAACUUUUUCUGAAUUCAAUAUGUUAAUAUGAGUAUCUAAUUAUGCAAUACAAGUAAACAAUAGUUUGCAAGAUUGGCAAAUUUAAUAGGUUAAAAAAUGCACAUUCUAAGGGCAUGUAAUUCCUGUUCACAUAAUUAUUGCCAUUCUUUUAUACUAGGAUCAAACACUAGAUAAAUGUUGUGCUUUGGUCUUUGAACAGUUUUAAACUUCUACUGUUAAGUUAGAAGUCACUUGCAGAAAAUUACCCAAAUUAUUUUUAUGAUAAAAUAAGCAUUAAAAAUGUAGAUUUUCAGUAUGGAAGCUCCUUUGCCUUAGACUUGUGACCCAAAACUUAAUUAUAAAAUGGAGAUGAAGUAAGGAAGUAUGCCAGGAAAGCCAAAACAAGGCAGAUAAAAGUUUUCUUCUAGGUUGCUUAUAAGCAUGCCUGAUUUAGUGAUAGGUAGCUUUUUCUUAACCACUUCAGGGCUUUAGUUUCUGCUGAGUGUUUCAUUACGUUGGUCAUUGAUAUAAAACAAUAUUUUGGGUAUUAAUUAUUUAUUUCUUUUAAUUCAAAACUUAGGUGAAGCUAUAAAAAUGAAAAGAUGGGGGCGGGCACGGUGGCUCAUGUCUGCAACCCCAGCACUUAGGGAGUCCGAGGCGGGUGGAUCACCUGAGGUCUGGAGUUCGAGACCAGCCUGAUCAACAUGGUGAAACCUCGUCUCCACUAAAAAUACAAAAGUUGGUCAGGCAUAGUGGUGGGUGCCUGUAGUCCCAGCUACUCGGAGGGCUGAGACAAGGGAAUUGCUUGAACCCAGGAAGUGGAGGUUGCAGUGAGCUGAGAUCAUGCCACUGGACUCCAGCCUGGGCGACAGAGCAAGACUCCAUCUAAAAAAAAAAAAGGAUGGGAUUUUACAAUAUAUAAUACAGUUUUUAAAAAUUCUAAGCCUCAAUGACUAUAUUUGGUUUUAAUUAUCAUAUUAUCAAAAUACCUGUUGUAUAUAUUUUUAUUGUGUAUAAUUAUACAUAGUGAUUUCUCAUUACAGACCAUUACUUUGGAAUGACUGAUGGAAGGCUAGUUAGAACUAGUGAUAAAUCAGAAUUUUAAAAUAGUUUUAAAGAGAUGAAUUUAUCACUUACAACUGCAUUUAUAAUAAAUUAGUUGCCUACGUAUUGUUUUCCCUAACAAAUAGUAUGUUCUUGAAGGGGAAGGGGAAUCCAGUGUCUAGCAUCAAUCAUAUCUAGAACAGAGAAAAUGCUCAAUGAAUGUUUGGUUGAAUAAAUGAACAAUGAAUUAACAAAUGACUAUAAAAAACGAUUCCCUUGAACAAUACACAAGAGCAAUUUUUUAAAGGCACAACACUGUUGAAGUAUCUUCAUUAAACUUUGCAUUGGUAUAUUGCAUUAUACCAUAAAUCCAUACACGUUACUGUGUUUAAUCGUUACAAUGAACUCUGAUGUCAAAGGGCCUUAUUAUUUUAUUUUUCAAAUGAGGACGUUGAAGCUCUGAGACGGAAAUUGUUUAAUAAUAAGCCAGUUAUGUCACAGCCAGAAUCUGCAUCUUUUAACUGAUUUGUCCAGGACAUGUUUUUCUAUUUGUAAAUACUAUUUAGUUACUGGAUUUAAGACUGUCACAAGAUUCUCAAUGUUUUGUUUUGGUUCUACUAUUCAUUCCUUUUAUGUCAUCUUUUCUCAACCAUUUCAUUUAUCCUUACUUUCCAUUUCUAAAUUCCUGUACACAUUUCCAGUUAUAAAAUAAGCCGAAAUUGGAAUGGAAUAAUUUCCUGUGUUCUCUGUGCCUUAACAUCACAAAAGUGUACCACUAAGUUGAAUUUAAAGCUAUGGAACUUCCACUUUAGGCAACAUGGCGAACUAGACGUCCAAGUACGAAAAGGACAGAGUAUGCUUUGUGGUGGACUAAAGGCUAGGGCCCAGGGUGUGUGUGUGUGUGUGUGUGUGUGUGUGUGUGUGUGUGUGUGUGUGUGUGUGUAAUCCAAGGCCUUUGCAUAAAGCCAAGAACUUGCAAAGACAACAUACUCAAUAGGUGAACUAGAAAGAAACUGUGCUCCACAGAGCAAAACUGUCAGUAUAUUUGCCUAUCUCAGUCUUAGCUCCGGGUAAAAAUAAACAAAAAAAUGAACCCCCAAAUGUGUCCCCUGUCUAUUCCUAAUAAAAUGGUUGCAUUCUACCUGAUUUAGGGCUAGAAACCACAAUACCUAUGUAGCGUUCCCUCCCCACUCCCAGAUAAUCAAGCUGAAAUUUUAAGGUGAUCUGAGUUUGGUAGUAGUAUCAGCAGUCUGAAAAAUGCAAAUACAAAUUCUCUCUUGAGGAAUGAACUUUAAAUCUAGGUCUAAAGAUUUUUCAGAGAUAAAAAUCCAAGGAACAUGGGCUCAGUAAACAAGCCAUUCCUGGUAACAGUGACAGCAAAACACAUACCCUGGAAAUAUAGGUAUUAUUAAUAUUAUACUUGAAGGGAACAUUUUCAUCCAGUGUAACUCAUGGAAAUUCAAUUUCCUUCUUCUGUGAGAAUUUGGAAUUUGU